rnacentral:rRNA from 1 species
UACGGAGGAGGCAAGCGUUAUUCGGAAUCACUGGGCGUAAAGCGCGUGUAGGCGGCUGGGUAAGCGACCCGUGAAAUCCCACUGCUCAACGGUGGAACUGCGGGGCGAACUGCCAGUCUUGAGGUUGGGAGAGGUGUGCGGAACUCUUGGUGGAGAGGUGAAAUGCGUAGAUAUUUAGAGGAACGCCAGUGGCGAAAGCGGGGCACUGGGUCAAUUCUGACGCUGAGACGAGAAAGCGUGGGGAGCAAACAGG